rnacentral:rRNA from 1 species
GUGAGGAAUAUUGCGCGAUGGAGGCAACUCUGACGCAGCCAUGCCGCGUGCAGGAAGAAGGCGCUACGCGUUGUAAACUGCUUUUAACCGGGAAGAAACCCCAGGACGUGUCCUGGGUUGACGGUACCGGAGGAAUAAGCACCGGCUAACUUCGUGCCAGCAGCCGCGGUAAUACGAAGGGUGCAAGCGUUAUCCGGAUUCAUUGGGUUUAAAGGGUGCGUAGGCGGAGCGUUAAGUCAGUGGUGAAAUCCUGCAGCUUAACUGUAGACUUGCCAUUGAUACUGGCGCUCUUGAGUGCGGUUGAAGUGGGCGGAAUGUGCCGUGUAGCGGUGAAAUGCUUAGAUAUGGCACAGAACACCAAUUGCGAAGGCAGCUCACUAAGGCGAUACUGACGCUGAGGCACGAAAGCGUGGGGAUCGAACAGGAUUAGAUACCCUAGUAGUCC